UGGGUUUGACUGUCAUUAAGUUGCUAAGC
rnacentral:piRNA from 1 species